GGUCCGGACUCCUCUCACUAUGUUUCCACUUAGCCCUAGCCAUUACACUGGCUACAAGUGUUCCUGACCUUGUUCAUAGUAGGGUGAUUGAUCUAAAGCUACAACCCAAACCAAUACCGCAACCUGAACCAAAGCCUGCACCACAACCAGACCCAAAGCCAGAACCCAAGCCAACACCGCAGCCUGACCCAAAACCCACACCACAACCAGACCCAAAGCCAGAACCCAAGCCGGCACCACAGCCUGAACCAAAGCCCGCACCACAACCAGAUCCAAAGCCAGAACCUAAACCGACACCGCAACCAAAACCAAAACCUACACCACAACCAGACCCACAACCAGAACCAAAACCCACACCACAACCAGACCCAAAACCGGAACCUAAACCCACACCACAACCAGAUCCAAAGCCCGAGCCAAAACCAACACCACAGCCACCCUCCUCGCAACCUGAACCAAAGCCCGAGCCUGAGCCAAGCCCCAAACCUACGCCAGAACCUAAACCUCAGCUGGAGCCUCAACCAAGCCCAAAACCCCAACCUGAACCAUCCAAGCCAGAGCCCCAGCCAAGGCCCAAACCUACACCAGAGCCAAAACCCCAACCAGAACCAUCGAAACCAGAGCCACCGUCUCUUCCACCACCCAUUGGCGCGGGCCUCAUGGAAGGGAACUAAGAGGAGCAUAGUGGCACAGAUCAACGUGCAUACCACCUACAGCUUUAGGCUAUGACUAGUACUAUGUGUAAGAGUGAGUUCUCU
rnacentral:lncRNA from 1 species